rnacentral:rRNA from 1 species
AGUGAACGCUGGCGGUAGGCCUAACACAUGCAAGUCGAACGGCAGCACAGUAAGAGCUUGCUCUUACGGGUGGCGAGUGGCGGACGGGUGAGGAAUACAUCGGAAUCUACUUUUUCGCGGGGGAUAACGUAGGGAAACUUACGCUAAUACCGCAUACGACCUACGGGUGAAAGCAGGGGAUCUUCGGACCUUGCGCGAUUGAAUGAGCCGAUGUCGGAUUAGCCAGUUGGCGGGGUAAAGGCCCACCAAGGCGACGAUCCGUAGCUGGUCUGAGAGGAUGAUCAGCCACACUGGAACUGAGACACGGUCCAGACUCCUACGGGAGGCAGCAGUGGGGAAUAUUGGACAAUGGGCGCAAGCCUGAUCCAGCCAUACCGCGUGGGUGAAGAAGGCCUUCGGGUUGUAAAGCCCUUUUGUUGGGAAAGAAAAGCAGCAGGUUAAUACCCCGCCGUUCUGACGGUACCCAAAGAAUAAGCACCGGCUAACUUCGUG